rnacentral:lncRNA from 1 species
CCUUGGGAGACACUCAACCCAUCUGGCCCAUGGCAUUUGGAAGUUGGUAUUUCUUCCAGGGCUUGCCAUACACAGCACAGGAAAUUUUCAGAAUUCUUUCUCAGACGUUGCUUUUGGUUUCCUGGCUGUUGUGAAGUGCACAGUGGUAGCAAGCAAUUCUUCAGGACUGCAACUGACUUAAAGUUCCUGCCCUCAUAAUUUUUGUCCUCGGGGGUCCUUUUACUCAGGUAAAAUUUAUUAUGACUUCAAAGGGCUUUUUUCAUGUGACCUGAAUGCUGUUAUUAACCAUGUCAGGAAACAGCAUAGAAAAUUUAAAUUAGUUAUCACCUUAUUAGUUAUUACCUUAGAACAAUAACAAAUAUAUUACAUUACCACUUUGUUAACGUUUAUAUUAAUAUUUUUAUGAAAUUUCUCCAAAACAAAAGAGGCUUCUGUGGGAGGGACGAUGUUAUUUUAUAUCGUUUUUUAAGCCGUUGUGCUGUCAGGCUAACAGAACAACUGCGUUUCUAUGCAGUUCCACUCAGGACCUACUGCAAUAUCUUUUUAACUGAGCACAUAAAGAAAGGCUGGUCUUUUGCUGAUUUGUAAGUGAAAGGGGGGAUUGUUUUAAAGUCUUUCCAGGCCACAGUAGCCUUCUUUGAUACUGUGCCAAAGUUCAACAAAUGAUGGUUUCUUGGUAGUUCCCAGCAAAGUAGAAUUUGAAGCAAGACCAACAAACUUCUCGUAUUUUGCUGCAUCAAAACCCAGUCUGUCUUCUACUUAAAAAAAAAAAAAAAAGUCAUUUCAGGAGCUAAAAUGUCUUUGUGGGAAGAUAAGUUUCUGUCUUUUGAUGUCAAAUAUUUUAGUCAGUACCAAGCUUCAUCUUUUGAAGUCAAUUAAGACAAUUCAUGAAGAUGACCUACUGUAAGCAUUGAGACUGCCUUCGAUCAGACAGCUUAUGAGAAGCUGGGUUGUGUCAAAAGCCACAAAACUUAACACCAUCAAACAAAAGAAAGAUGUGUUUUAUCCCAGUGAGGCCCAAUUGCUUUAAGCCAUAUUCCAAAGUCUGUGUUUGGUAAAAGGAUGUUUUAGAUAUCGUAUGGGUUCCACUGAACAGGGAUUUUCUACUGCACUGAUGCAAACAUUCCAUUCCAUCUUUCCUCUGGAAGUGUGACUUGUGGGGACAGAGUUUAACACAGGUGAAUCACAAACUCCAGUGACCUCAUUGGAUCUCAUGAAGAUAGUGAAAGGAGAAAAGCUAGACUGGUGAGCACACUGAGACUGGGCUGCCUGAAACUCGAUCACACGGCUUCCUGGCCAGCAAACAAAAGAAAGAUGUGUUUUAUCCCAAUGAGGCCCAAUUG